CAAGAACGCCGCACUUUAGAUAUCAUGUAGUUGGUUGCGUCUUGUAAUCUUUCUGAAUUUGUGAAGAUGGAGUCAAGAGAAGAAAAGAAUUACAACUACUUUCAGAAAAUACUUAAAAAUGUCGUUAAAAAGAAACUUGUUGAUUUAUUUAUCCAAGAGUGGAACGCUCAUUGCAGUAAAGACCACGGAGAAUGGGAAAAUACAAACAAGAUAAAAUACUCGUCUUUGAGAAAACGUACAAGGAGAUAGAAGAAGAGGAAAUGAAUUUGUAGCUCAUUUUUAAUGAAGAAGAAAAUCAAUUUCUCUUUUCAUUUUAGGUAUGUCUUCUUUAUAC